UAGAACUGGAUGCCUGUGUGCAGA
rnacentral:misc_RNA from 1 species